AGUAGAUGGCAGAACGAUCACAUCUGAUCGACGCAACAACCGCAGCCUUUUAUAGCUGGGAAAUUGCAUCUAAAUCGAUUGAACAACGAAAAAUCGAGCGGUUAAUAAUAGUUCGAUUAUCAGGCUCGUAGCGGUGACGAAAGAUCAAUUCAAUUGGCGCUUGAGAAAGUCGAAAAUGUGUUCCAGCAUGAACCAGUUCCAGUUCGAAACAUGAAAGAACCGGAAUUAUUUCGUCCAGGGCAAUUACGAUUUGCAUAAGACUGAACUGCCGAUCUAUGACUAAGCAUGAACUUUGCUUCUUUAUCAAUUGAAGGUUAUGUUCGACAACCUCGACUAUCGUAUUGUCGCGAGAACAAGUUCUUGCGAUGGAAACACGCAUCUUUUUGUUCUUCGAGAACAUUCGCAGCACCCUGUAUAUAUUGUGGCAUCGAAAUACGCAAACAAUAAUUAGCAGAUUCUGUAAAAUAAUUCCUGGCACGAUUGAUCAAAUCUCGGACAGCGACAAUGAUCGAGGAUCACGAUAUUAUCUUUAUUAGAACGAAUGUGCUUUUCUAAUUAUUUGCCUAAAGUAAUUUCUUGUUUCAAUAUUGUUCUCUUUUUUUUUUAAAAAAGAUAAGCGUUGAUGAUUCAAUGUUCUUGAACUCUGUAUGUGUAGAAUAUCUCUAAGAUUUUCAAUUAUUUCAAAUAGCUGGAAUAACAGUUGAAAAAAUAUAAAAAUCUCUCUCUCUCUCUCUCUCUCUGACUGCAUUAACCCACUGCACUAUAUUAUAGUGAUUAUUAGACCGCGGAACUUUAUGCAAAAAAACUGAUUACAUAAAACAGAAGUUACAUAAUAAUAUAGAUUACUUUUGCCUGUUGAUACAGUAAAUGCAAUGUUUUGCAGUAUUUUUAACUUCUGGCGUCUUCGCUUAUCUGUGCUUCAUUUAUCCAUUUUUGUUAAAAAUGCACAAAAUCCGCAGUCAAACCGUCGAUAAAAAUUUCAAACAGAAUCUGUUAUUAUCUCGAUGUUAAGUCAACGUUAUUAUCAAAAUGGAAAUUCUAAACGAAAACAAAAUCGAACUUGUCGAUAGUUGAUCGUUAGAGUCAAUGCAGACGUACAGUAAACAACGUUUAACCCAUCGUCGCAAGAAUUUUUUAACGGCAAAGAACACGGUGCAAUCGCUAAAAGAAGAUAUCGCAUAACAAA